rnacentral:rRNA from 1 species
UACGAAGGGGGCUAGCGUUGCUCGGAAUCACUGGGCGUAAAGCGCACGUAGGCGGCUUUUAAGUCAGAGGUGAAAUCCUGGAGCUCAACUCCAGAACUGCCUUUGAUACUGGAGAGCUUGAGUCCGGGAGAGGUGAGUGGAACUGCGAGUGUAGAGGUGAAAUUCGUAGAUAUUCGGAAGAACACCAGUGGCGAAGGCGACUCACUGGACACGUAUUGACGCUGAGGUGCGAAAGCGUGGGGAGCAAACAGG